AUUGAAGAGUUUGAUCAUGGCUCAGAUUGAACGCUGGCGGCAGGCCUAACACAUGCAAGUCGAGCGGUAGCACAGGAGAGCUUGCUCUCUGGGUGACGAGCGGCGGACGGGUGAGUAAUGUCUGGGAAACUGCCUGAUGGAGGGGGAUAACUACUGGAAACGGUAGCUAAUACCGCAUAACGUCUUCGGACCAAAGUGGGGGACCUUCGGGCCUCACGCCAUCAGAUGUGCCCAGAUGGGAUUAGCUAGUAGGUGGGGUAAUGGCUCACCUAGGCGACGAUCCCUAGCUGGUCUGAGAGGAUGACCAGCCACACUGGAACUGAGACACGGUCCAGACUCCUACGGGAGGCAGCAGUGGGGAAUAUUGCACAAUGGGCGCAAGCCUGAUGCAGCCAUGCCGCGUGUGUGAAGAAGGCCUUCGGGUUGUAAAGCACUUUCAGCGAGGAGGAAGGGUAGUGUGUUAAUAGCACAUUGCAUUGACGUUACUCGCAGAAGAAGCACCGGCUAACUCCGUGCCAGCAGCCGCGGUAAUACGGAGGGUGCAAGCGUUAAUCGGAAUUACUGGGCGUAAAGCGCACGCAGGCGGUUUGUUAAGUCAGAUGUGAAAUCCCCGCGCUUAACGUGGGAACUGCAUUUGAAACUGGCAAGCUAGAGUCUUGUAGAGGGGGGUAGAAUUCCAGGUGUAGCGGUGAAAUGCGUAGAGAUCUGGAGGAAUACCGGUGGCGAAGGCGGCCCCCUGGACAAAGACUGACGCUCAGGUGCGAAAGCGUGGGGAGCAAACAGGAUUAGAUACCCUGGUAGUCCACGCUGUAAACGAUGUCGACUUGGAGGUUGUGCCCUUGAGGCGUGGCUUCCGGAGCUAACGCGUUAAGUCGACCGCCUGGGGAGUACGGCCGCAAGGUUAAAACUCAAAUGAAUUGACGGGGGCCCGCACAAGCGGUGGAGCAUGUGGUUUAAUUCGAUGCAACGCGAAGAACCUUACCUACUCUUGACAUCCACAGAAUUCGGCAGAGAUGCCUUAGUGCCUUCGGGAACUGUGAGACAGGUGCUGCAUGGCUGUCGUCAGCUCGUGUUGUGAAAUGUUGGGUUAAGUCCCGCAACGAGCGCAACCCUUAUCCUUUGUUGCCAGCACGUAAUGGUGGGAACUCAAAGGAGACUGCCGGUGAUAAACCGGAGGAAGGUGGGGAUGACGUCAAGUCAUCAUGGCCCUUACGAGUAGGGCUACACACGUGCUACAAUGGCGUAUACAAAGAGAAGCGAACUCGCGAGAGCCAGCGGACCUCAUAAAGUACGUCGUAGUCCGGAUCGGAGUCUGCAACUCGACUCCGUGAAGUCGGAAUCGCUAGUAAUCGUAGAUCAGAAUGCUACGGUGAAUACGUUCCCGGGCCUUGUACACACCGCCCGUCACACCAUGGGAGUGGGUUGCAAAAGAAGUAGGUAGCUUAACCUUCGGGAGGGCGCUUACCACUUUGUGAUUCAUGACUGGGGUGAAGUCGUAACAAGGUAACCGUAGGGGAACCUGCGGUUGGAUCACCUCCUU
rnacentral:rRNA from 1 species